rnacentral:rRNA from 1 species
UACGGCUCAGUAACACGUAGUCAAUCUAACCUAUGGACGGGGAUAACCUCGGGAAACUGAGGAUAAUACCUGAUAGAUCAUAAUGCCUGGAAUGGUUUAUGGUUCAAAUGAUUCGUCGCCGUAGGGUGGGACUGCGGCCUAUCAGCUUGUUGGUGAGGUAAUGGCCCACCAAGGCUAUUACAGGUACGGGCUCUGAGAGGAGUAGCCCGGAGAUGGGUACUGAGACACGGACCCAGGCCCUAUGGGGCGCAGCAGGCGAGAAACCUUUGCAAUGUGCGCAAGCACGACAAGGUUAAUCCGAGUGUUUCCUGCUAAAGGAAUCUUUUGUUAGUCGUAAAAUCACUGAUGAAUAAGGGGUGGGCAAGUUCUGGUGUCAGCCGCCGCGGUAAAACCAGCACCUCAAGUGGUCAGGAUGAUUAUUGGGCCUAAAGCAUCCGUAGCCUGUUCUGAAAGUUUCCGGUUAAAUCCAUUAACUCAACUAAUGGGCUGCCGAAAAUACUGCAGAACUAGGGAGUGGGAGAGGUAGACGGUACUCGGUAGGAAGGGGUAAAAUCCUUUGAUCUAUCGAUGACCACCAGUGGCGAAGGCGGUCUACCAGAACACGUUCGACGGUGAGGGAUGAAAGCUGGGGGAGCAAACCGGAUUAGAUACCCGGGUAGUCCCAGCUGUAAACGAUGCAAACUCGGUGAUGCCCUGGCUUGUGGCCAGUGCAGUGCCGCAGGGAAGCCGUUAAGUUUGCCGCCUGGGAAGUACGUACGCAAGUAUGAAACUUAAAGGAAUUGGCGGA